rnacentral:misc_RNA from 1 species
AGCAGCCGCGGUAAUUCCAGCUCCAAUAGCGUAUAUUAAAGUUGUUGCAGUUAAAAAGCUCGUAGUUGAAUUUCGGGAUCAAAGGAUCGGUCAUGCCUUGGUAUGUACUGGUUUUAUUGGUUCUCACCUUCUAAAGAACCAUAAUGUCAUUCAUUUGAUGUUAUGGGGAAUUAGGACUGUUACCUUGAAAAAUUAGAGUGUUUAAAGCAGGCUUACGCUUGAAUACAUUAGCAUGGAAUAAUGAAAUAGGACAUCAGAUUCUAUUUUGUUGGUUUCUAGGAUCGAUGUAAUGAUUAAUAGGGAUAGUUGGGGGCAUUAGUAUUCAAUUGUCAGAGGUGAAAUUCUUGGAUUUAUUGAAGACUAACUACUGCGAAAGCAUUUGCCAAGGAUGUUUUCAUUAAUCAAGAACGAAAGUUAGGGGAUCGAAGACGAUCAGAUACCGUCGUAGUCUUAACCAUAAACUAUGCCGACUAGGGAUCGGAUGAUGUUAAUUUUAUAAUGACUCAUUCC